rnacentral:rRNA from 1 species
AUUGGGACUGAGAUACGGCCCAGACUCCUACGGGAGGCAGCAGUGGGGAAUAUUGCACAAUGGGCGCAAGCCUGAUGCAGCGACGCCGCGUGCGGGAUGACGGCCUUCGGGUUGUAAACCGCUUUUGACUGGGAGCAAGCCCUUCGGGGUGAGUGUACCUUUCGAAUAAGCACCGGCUAACUACGUGCCAGCAGCCGCGGUAAUACGUAGGGUGCAAGCGUUAUCCGGAAUUAUUGGGCGUAAAGAGCUCGUAGGCGGUUCGUCGCGUCCGGUGUGAAAGUCCAUCGCUUAACGGUGGAUCCGCGCCGGGUACGGGCGGGCUUGAGUGCGGUAGGGGAGACUGGAAUUCCCGGUGUAACGGUGGAAUGUGUAGAUAUCGGGAAGAACACCAAUGGCGAAGGCAGGUCUCUGGGCCGUCACUGACGCUGAGGAGCGAAAGCGUGGGGAGCGAACAGGAUUAGAUACCCUGGUAGUCCACGCCGUAAACGGUGGAUGCUGGAUGUGGGGACCAUUCCACGGUCUCCGUGUCGGAGCCAACGCGUUAAGCAUCCCGCCUGGGGAGUACGGCCGCAAGGCUAAAACUCAAAGAAAUUGACGGGGGCCCGCACAAGCGGCGGAGCAUGCGGAUUAAUUCGAUGCAACGCGAAGAACCUUACCUGGGCUUGACAUGUUCCCGACAGCCCCAGAGAUGGGGCCUCCCUUCGGGGCGGGUUCACAGGUGGUGCAUGGUCGUCGUCAGCUCGUGUCGUGAGAUGUUGGGUUAAGUCCCGCAACGAGCGCAACCCUCGCCCUGUGUUGCCAGCACGUCGUGGUGGGAACUCACGGGGGACCGCCGGGGUCAACUCGGAGGAAGGUGGGGAUGACGUCAGAUCAUCAUGCCCCUUACGUCCAGGGCUUCACGCAUGCUACAAUGGCCGGUACAACGGGAUGCGACACCGCGAGGUGGAGCGGAUCCCUUAAAACCGGUCUCAGUUCGGAUUGGAGUCUGCAACCCGACUCCAUGAAGGCGGAGUCGCUAGUAAUCGCGGAUCAGCAACGCCGCGGUGAAUGCGUUCCCGGGCCUUGUACACACCGCCCGUCAAGUCAUGAAAGUGGGUAGCACCCGAAGCCGGUGGCCCAACCUUUUGGGGGGAGCCGUCUAAGGUGAGACUCGUGAUUGGGACUAAGUCGUAACAAGGUAGCCGUACCGGAAGGUGCGGCUG